rnacentral:misc_RNA from 1 species
GGCCAAGUGCAUUUCUGUAAUAUUUUAUUACUCUUCCUUUAUCACAUAUUCAUAGUUUCACUACAGCUCCUUCCCCAUGGACCAUUUUCUUUGAUGGAAUUCGGAAAUCCAUUCCUAUGUUUACAUUGCUUACUUUGGAUUUUGUAUUUUUCAUGCUGAUGGGUGUUUCUUGGCUUCAUUUGUUAUCUUGUCAGAGUUCAGAUGUUUAGAGAGUU